GAUAAACGCUGGCGGCGUGCUUAACACAUGCAAGUCGAACGAAGUUUUUCCUUCGGGAGAAACUUAGUGGCGGACGGGUGAGUAACGCGUGGGUAACCUGCCCUGUACAGGGGGACAACAGCUGGAAACGGCUGCUAAUACCGCAUAAGCCCUUAGCACUGCAUGGUGCAUAGGAAAAAGGAGCAAUCCGGUACAGGAUGGACCCGCGUCUGAUUAGCCAGUUGGCAGGGUAACGGCCUACCAAAGCGACGAUCAGUAGCCGAUCUGAGAGGAUGUACGGCCACAUUGGGACUGAGACACGGCCCAGACUCCUACGGGAGGCAGCAGUGGGGAAUAUUGCACAAUGGAGGAAACUCUGAUGCAGCGACGCCGCGUGAGUGAAGAAGUAUUUCGGUAUGUAAAGCUCUAUCAGCAGGGAAGAAAAUGACGGUACCUGACUAAGAAGCACCGGCUAAAUACGUG
rnacentral:rRNA from 1 species